GUGAAAGGUUUCGGGGCCUCGCGAAGAGCAAGGGCGAACGGCGGGAGCCUCGCGCCCAGCGGUCGGCCGGGACGCGCCGGGCGUCUUGCAAAACGCGGGCGCAGCCGAAAGCCGAGCCCCGAACCCCCCCGCUGCUCCUUGGGGGUGCUUUUACGGGGGGGGAAAACACCCGGGCCAGGGUGGAAAAAUCCUCCUUCGUGCUUGUGCUAAUUGCACACGUUUUGGGUUUUUUUUUAGCCUGUGCAGCCAGGUUAAACGAGAGCCCGCGCUAGCUGACUUUCCGCCCCCCGCCAGGAGUUACAACCCCGUGUUUUGGUAGCUCGGCGCCGAGGCAGCGUUUCGGAAACGCGGAUGCAGCCCAGACCCGCCGCCGCUUUGGUGCAUCCCUGCAGGACAAAGAUCCUCUCGCCGCUCGCGACGUUCCUGCUUCCCGCGCCUCCUCCCAUGCAGCGAGAAACGACUCCCUUCAGGCCACUCAGCGCUGCAAGAUGCUUUUAAGACCUUCAACGGUCGCGCGCUCCAUUUUGUAAGGGGAAACGAUCUGUGCUCGGACCGCCCGGCCGCUGCCGUGAAUAACUGGGAUGUGAGGAGGGGGCAUCGGACAUGGACAUCGGACAGAUGGACGGAUGGACGGACGCGGGCUCCCACCCCAUCCGGCAGACUUCCACGUUGCUUCUCCAAAGGCCUCUUCCGAGCGGUUUUGGAGCGAACGGGCGGCCCUUCGCCCCGCGGGACGGCGCUCCCGGCCGGGGCGGCAGCGCGG
rnacentral:lncRNA from 1 species